GACGAACGCUGGCGGCGUGCUUAACACAUGCAAGUCGAACGGAAAGGCCCUGCUUUUGUUGGGUUCUCGAGUGGCGAACGGGUGUGUAUCACGUGAGUAACCUGCCCUUGACUUUGUGAUAACUUCAGGAAACUGGGGCUCAUACCGGAUAUGAGCUCCUUCUUCAUGGUUGUGGUUGGUAAGUUUCGGCGGUUGGGGAUGGACUCGCGGCUUAUCAGCUUGUUGGUGGGGUAGUGGCUUACCAAGGCUUUGACGGGUAGCCGGCCUGAGAGGGUGACCGGAAACAAUGGGACUGAGAGACGGCACAGACUCGUACGGGAGGCAGCAGUGGGGAAUAUUGCACAAUGGGCGGAAGCCUGAUGCAGAAACGCCGCGUGCGGGAUGACGGCCUUCGGGGUGUAAACAGAUGUCGCAUGUGACGAAGAGUGAGUGACGGUAAUGGGUAAAGAAGCACCGGCUAACUACGUG
rnacentral:rRNA from 1 species